rnacentral:lncRNA from 1 species
CAGCGACUGGUACUAGUAUUUAUUUGUGUACUCAAGUAAUUCAGUUUUGCCGUUCAAUUGACUGCCUUUCGGGGGUGCUGUUGUGCGUUCCCUCGUCUUUCAGGCAAGAUGCAUAAAUUGUUGGGCCCCCACUUGAGGAGGACUCUGCGCUGUCUCUCAUUAGUCUCCAGUUGUUUGGACUCAGCACAUUUGUAACAAUAUUUGGGAACUAAUUUUAGAUGCAGCGCGACGCAGGCGAAUUGACAGCACGCAUAUUUCAGGGCAGAUUUUUGACGUGCGCCCGUGAUUUGUCAUUGACAUCAUUAUGGACCGCGGGCGCGCAUCUCCCUCGCAGACAAACGGGCUGCAACACUUCAGAGGAGGCGUCGCAACGGAUCGGAUCGGAUCGGAGUCUGGUACUUCAUCUGUGCCGCUUGGGUACACAAAAAGAUGGAACUACAUUUGGUAUAGAGGGGUGGAACAGCCCGGAGAGAAUACUCCGAUCGGUCGGUGGCUGUGGCAGUUGGUUCGUCAUGCGCCAUGCGUCGCCACAUUUUCUAAUUGAUUUUCAAAUGUUUCAGUUUGUAUAAAUAAUUGCGUUUUUGACAUUCC